CUUCUGCUGCUAAGAGUACACCAAAGCACGAAUAAAGAACUUGUCGAAGUACGAUUCAUGAAGAGCAGCAUUGACAACAAACGUAUGCGUUUCGGCUACAAAGGUGCCUCUUGUGACGUGUUUGCAGUAGACAAACAACUGGUGUAAGUGGUGAACAGGUGCGGGACACACCAUCAAGAGUCAGCCGUGUGUCCUUCAGUAACUACGACUUCCUUCCCUGUCUUGCAGUCAACAUUGCGUGAUGUUUUUGUGAUUGGUUGUUGGAAAACGACGACAACUGACAUUUGGCGGUUCUUCUGAUCACUUGCGCUUUCAGUCAGUAAAGCUGUUCAUACUUUCGCUAAGUGGCUCGUCCCUUUCAACAGGUUAUGGGCCCAGGGCGCGUUGAUCGUCGGUAAUCGUUCAACCGGGUCUGCUCGUCAUCUCCUGCUGCGUCGAGUUGGAAAUUGCAGAAUGAAGCAAAUUCUCUGUGGCGAAGCUCGUUGACGGCAAGUACCAAGUAUGGAAGUUUAAGAUGAAAAUGCUACUCAUCCGGGGGGCACCUGGUCGUACGUUGCGAGUGACGUCGCAGCGGAUACAACGCCUGCAUGGAUCACCGGAGGCAGUAAGGCCCAGAGCACAAUCUCCCUGAGCAUCGAUGACAGACAGAUCGUGCACGUCUGUAACUGUACGUCAGCGAAGCAGAUGUGGGAGGAGCUAAAGAAGGUUCACGAGCGGGCAAACUUAAGCAACAAGCUUUAUUUACUCAGGGAGCUAUGCCAGUCACGUGUGGAAAACGAUGAAGAUAUAUUGACUUACAUCAGGCGAGUUCUGGAGUUAGUAGAGCGGCUUAGAGGCAUCGCGCAAGAAAUCACCAAUUUCCAAGUGGCUGCUCUUCUUCU